rnacentral:rRNA from 1 species
AUUGCGGCACUGGGCCAUUCCCAGGGCCACGCCCGUCUGAGGGUCGGUUG